UUUAGUUUUGUAAAACAUAUAGUUAGCUCCUAAAUUAGUAAUAGUAAUUAUACCACUGCCACAAUUAACUUGGCACCUAAAUAUAACAGUUUGUAAUUGUUUAUCAUUUUAAAAGCAUUUAGAUAAUUGUUUUUGCUACUGUUUUACUCAUUUUAUAGUAUUGAGACAUUUUACAAAAGUGUGGUUUCUCUGCCAUAAUUACCUAUGCAUUAUUUGGCACAACAUGAACAAUUUAGUUUUAAUAUUUGAAAAGCUUUAUCGUUUGACUUGAUUUUGAAUUUCAAUUUGAAUCGGUUUUGAAUCAACGCGAGUUUAUCAAUAGUAACCGAGGUGACGUGGCAUCAUUAGCAGAGGUUCACUGUAGCUUAAUUAUCCGGGCGUCACAAUUCUCCUCCACUACAAGAAAUCUCGUCCCGAGAUUUAAGGGGUGUGUGAGGGGGAGAGAUCUGGUCACGAAAUUCUAACGAAACUUCUCGUUCCUGGUUGCUCUUCUCGAAGAAGUUGAUCCAUGACGUUGAUGUCUUCAUUUUUCCUGCUUAAGGUCAUCAUGAUGAAGCUGGCAUCCUUUCUUUGGGAACUCCAUCGUACUUACGAAGGACAAGGGGUACCUUCGGAAUAACAGACCUCUGAACGGUUGACUAUCUGGUUGAUAACAUCGGGGAAGGUGGCGGAAAGUAACUCUCGAAUGGAAAUUUAAGACAAUAUCGAGAGCAAAGUAAGGAGGUAUCGUGGGGAAGUUUCGAGCGGGCAGGCAAUCGUUCGAUGCCUGAAGGGUUCAGAGCAACGGGAAUAAGUAUUGUGUCUGAUACCAAAAUUGAUGAUCUCACGAAAGGUGGCACGUGAAUUACAUACGAAGCCAAGCGUGAGGAAUAACCUUGGGAACAGGGGGUGUACAAGAGAGUCAGGUUUCGAUCCUGUGGAACUGUGGGUUAUGGGCCCACCAUGUGGGUUUUUUUUAUAAGAGCAGUGACAUCUAGCACGGUCAUGAUAGCAAGGCAUUUCAGAGAGUACCCUGUCAGUUAUGUCGGCAACACAUUGGUACCAAGGGCGAGGGACGAAGAGAACCAUUUUCCUAGUCGUUGAAACAAGGCGGACCAAUAGGCAAAGUUCUCAUCCAUCGGUGGCUACCGAAAUGUCAUCAACAAAAGCAACAUGGUCUACCGAGAGAGUAGUACAACGAGGUGCUCAACUAAGCAGGGAUUUAUCUCUGCUCAGCUAAGUCAGAUUACAAGAAAGGUUAAACAAAACAAUGCUAAGGAAAAGGUGAUCAACAGAUUAAAUAGAAAAACAGAAAGGAAAAUGUGUUUAAACACAUAUUUCAGGGGUAUAUCCUUCCCAAGGACAAGCAGAGCAUAAUAACCAUGACAGGAUAUAAUGUAGAAAACUCUUUAGGUAAGGGUAGAGUAAUUUCAUGACAUUACCCAUACAACGGUGUUUGGAUAAUUGAGCAAGAAAACAUUUAGCAUUGGGCUUCAAAUGUUCUUGUCGAAAAUCGGAGUACCACAGACAUGCUUCGAGAUAGCAUUGCCAUGGUCUUCAAGCAAAGGUCGGACUUUGGAUACUCAAUGGAUUCAUCAGGAAUAACUUGUAGAAUAAGUCUUAUAAUUUCCUCAUGGAAGAAUGGUUAAUCUUCCUAAAAAGGAGGUGUGCUAGGCAUGACAUCACCUUACCUGGUCGUAUAAAGACCAACGUUAUAACUCUUGGGAAUAUGUUCCAACCAUCAUAUCUGACCGAGAUUCAGAUCUGAUUAGUGCCAGGAUACCUCAGACUCAGGAUGCCUGAGAAGAAAAGGUGCAACACAAUUUGACGAGAUGACAUAGUAAGAUUCUCGGGAAAAGAACUAUGGAAGCGAGUUCCGAAACGAGAGUUCAUCAUUAAACCAAGGAGAGGAUGAGGAGGUGGCUGAUGGACUCAGCGACAUAGCAUCGAGAUCUCCAAAAAGAUGGAUUUCCACAAUUAUGAGAACAAGGAGAAAACAUUUGUCAAAUCAAAUGUUAUAUUGAUGUAUGCUCGAGGAAAACAUACACAAUUAGACAUUGGUUGAAAGGUGCACGCGAGAUAUGGGCUUAGGUAGCAAGAUCAACGUUAGAGUGACGUAUUAAUAACCAACAGUCUAUGAACGAACUGUCGAUCGUUAACUUCAAAGCAAUAGGGUUGAUAGAAGUACAGAACUCAAACAGCAUCGUUAGCAUAUUGGUAUCCUGGUUAAAAGCAACACUGGGACCAAGGAAGAAUGGUGAUGGUGAGAAGUAUUAUCAUACCGAGAAUUUCUAAGAGGUGGAGCAAUCCCCACAACAUUCUCGACAAAAAAGACGGUAAUACUUCAAGGCAGAACACAACACUAGCUGGAGAGCAAGUUGUAUUCAUAAUGUGGACAAGUUCGCGAUGAAAAGGAAGUCAAGGGUGUUGUCGAUGAUAAUAAAAAUCAUCGAGGGCAAGGAGGGUAUUUCUCAUCAUGAACACAGUUGACAUCUCAGAAGAAGUCAAAGUGUUGAAGGUGAUCCAACACAUUUGCCGGGAGGUUUCAAGAGGAUGCAAUCAAACAACAACGGCAACAAGCAAGGAAAUGACGAAGUGAAUAGUUAUAGGAUCAAUAUAUAAGAUGCAAGCUCGGAACAAAAGUUGCCUUUCAAGACAAGCAACAUGAUGUUUGAAAGCUCGACGUAAGUCGUGCUCACACACUGAAGAAUUCGUGCACUAGAGAAGGACGAGGUAGCACGGUCAAAGAUAGCAAGACCAGGACGCAGCCGAUAGUCUAGGAAUGACCUGAUUGAGUUCAGAAUUUCCUAGUAAAAAAAAUAGGGGUAUUUGAUUUGUACUGCGGAAUAAUUUCACUAGUCGGUGUCCUCGGUUAACAACAACCCAGAACCCGUAGAGUGAUUACGACAAGGAUAGACAUUACUUCAACAAAGUUAGUAAGAUGUGGUGCAAUGGCAAGACAUCUUCGAGAUACUAGGGGGUAAUACUCGAAGGUAGAACAUGAUAGAAGUAGAACCGAGUCAUUGACCUAUGACAGUAGAUACUACAACCUUGCCAAAAAUAGACGAGGCACUGGAUUGAAUUCCCAUCAGAUAUAUCAGAUCAGGACAGCAUGGUCGAAACCAUAACUGUAAGGAAUCAAUCUCAAGAAUACCGAAGGAAUCAUACAGCUGGGUAAUUAUUUGCAAGAAGCUUCCGAGACGGUCUACAUCAUUUUCAUGGGCAUGAACACAAAGUUCAAGGUCGACUCCCACUUCUUUAAUGCAUAUCAUUUCAUUCACCUCUCGCUUUGAUAAAACUGUAGUGUUGGAAUUUUAUCUGGUAGAACACCGGAAGAGUAUGACUUGUUAAAACUUUCGGGUUCUCACGGAUUAGGGGAAGGCAUAGGUUCAACCCAUCGGGCAUCUUAGUAACAUAUACCACAAGUUUCAAAUGUAAAUACACAAGCUCGAAAGUAGAGCAUGGUUGGCCAAGCAGAGGAUACAGUUUACCAAAGGCAUUAUGUAUCAGGGAGAGGACUCACAAGGUGAUUGAAUAUGAAGGACACUGUCGGAUAACAAUCCAAUAAUGGAUCGGGCGAUCCACAACGGAGCUGAUGUGAGUAUCGGUACUCACUAGAGGAAGAAAUAAUGCAGAGGCAUCAGAUUCAAGAAUCACCUGAUUAGUCUGAUGCUUAAAUAGAAAGAAAUUAUGGUUUCCAAAACGAAGGAUCAGAAGCAGACGCUCUGAUCAAGGAUGGAUAAGUUGAAAACACUUAGUUGGACAAUCAAUGAAGGUUUGAAUUGCCGAGAACCAACUCAUGUCCAGAAUGAUGUCUGAGUCGGAAAAAUAAUUUUAAAAGGAUCAACUGAUGGUUGCGUGCAUUCGCACACAUGUUGAAUCAAUAGGAUCAAAAUGCCGGUGCCUAAGGUUACUAACGAAUAUUGCCAGACAUAUGGAAAGCAUCCAUAAUACAAGCAGACAAGUAUUGUAGAUAAAUAAGCUACUAAGGAUUUUUGGAGGAUCGAAUAGUAUUUCGAAGACCAUUGUGAAACACAUGAACAACUGGGGAUGAACAGAUACUCGAUAAGGGAAAGAAACUAUCCGUAGGGGUAUUCAGGUGGCAAGGAACUGCAAGGCAGUAGGCACAAAAUAUUCUCGGAACAAUAGAAAGGAUUUCAAGGUAUCUUGUAAUAACUAGAUCAACUGGGAAUAGAAGUAAGAACGGCAAGUGUAUGUAUUAAUCCAUAGGGAUAUUUCGGUGGUAGGGAAUUGCAAAAGCAACUGGCACAAAGUCUCAAAAGAGUAUCGGAGAGUAACUUCGAAAUCUUCUGGUGCAGCAGGCGAUCAUUUGGACUGAUGGGCUCUCCGGGACAAAGUGUUUUCGAGAACCUAAAGUUAGAUUUUUAGAAAAUCAUUUAACCUGAAUAGAAGAGAGAUUAGAAUCCCAGAGUAUAGACAAGGAAUAAAACAUCCUAAUACCACCCAAAUGGCGACGUGGGCCCAUGGGCCGCACAGCCAUGUUAACAAAAGUUUUGUAAAGUCUAGACUCGAAUUCGGCCAAGGAGUGUGGAAGGGGGAUUCCUAUAGGCAGUCGGCUCUGAUACCAACUUGUGACGCCCCCGAUUCAAUCGUACACUAAUCAUGCACGCAAAUGUGUACGAUCAAGAUCAGGGACUCACGGGAAGAUAUCACAACACAACUCUACAACAUAAAUAAGUCAUACAAGGAUCAUAAUACAAGCCAGGGGCCUCGAGGGCUCGAAUACAAGUGCUUGAUCAUAGACGAGUCAGCGGAAGCAACAAUAUCUGAGUACAGACAUAAGUUAAACAAGAUUGCCUUAAGAAGGCUAGCACAAAAGUAGCAACGAUCGAAAAGGCAAGGCCUCCUGCCUGGGACCUCCUAACUACUCCUCGAAGCCGAACUCCGUGUAGAAUCAUCCUCGGGAUCUCUAGCUCCUGGACUCCAGCAUCUGGUUGUGACAACCAGGUAGAAAGGAAAGGGGGAAAAGAGGGAGAAAAGCAACCGUGAGUACUCAUCCAAAGUACUCGCAAGCAAGGAGCUACACUACAUAUGCAUGGGUAUAUGUGUAAAGGGCCAUAUCGGUGGACUGAACUUCAGAAUGCCAGAAUAAGAGGGGGAUAGCUAAUCCUGUCUCAGACUACGCUUCUGGCCACCUCCAUCUUGCAGCAUGUAGAAGAGAGUAGAUGGUAAGUUCACCAAGUAGCAUCGCAUAGAAUAAUCCUACCCGGCGAUCCCCUCCUCGUCGCCCUGUUAGAGAGCGAUCACCGGGUUAUAUCUGGCACUUGGAAGGGUGUGUUUUAUUAAGUAUCCAGUUCUAGUUGUCAUAAGGUCAAGGUACAACUCCGGGUCGUCCUUUUACCGAGGGACACGGCUAUUCGAAUAGAUAAAAUUCCCUGCAGGGUGCACCACAUAACCCAACACGCUCGAUCCCAUUUGGCCGGACACACUUUUCUGGGUCAUGCCCGGCCUCGGAAGAUCAACACGUCGCAGCCCCACCUAGGCACAAUAGAGAGGUCAGCACGCCGGUCUAAAUCCUAUGGCGCAGGGGUCUGGGCCCAUCGCCAUUGCACACCUGCAUGUUGCGAACGCGGCCGAAAGCAGACCUAGCCUAGUAGGCGUUCCAGUCCAAUCCGGCGCGCGCCACUCAGUCGCUGACGUCACGAAGGCUUCGGCUGAUACCACGACGUCAAGUGCCCAUAACUGUUCCCGCGUAGUUGGUUAGUGCGUAUAGACCAAAUGGCCAGACUCAGAUCAAAUACCAACGUUAAGCGUGUUAAGUAUCCGCGAAUGCCGACCAGGGCCAGGCCCACCUCUCUCCUAGGUGGUCUCAAGCUGCCCUGUCGCUCCACCACAAAGCAACAGUCGGGGGCCGUCAGAAACCCAGGCCCACCUCUUCCGGGAUGGAGCCACCUGUCCUUUCAGCCCCCUCAUCAGAAUCACUUGCGGGUACUCAACGAGCCGACCCGACUUUAGUCACCACAUGUGUCAUGUAUAUAAAGUAUAUAGUAUAUACCCGUGAUCACCUCCCGAAGUGAUCACGACCCAGUAGUAUAGCAUGGCAUACGGACAAGAGUGUAAGGCCACUGACGGAACACUAGCAUCCUAUACUAAGUAGUAGGAUAGCAGGUAAGGGUAACAACUGUAGCAACAAUGAGAGGCUAUGCAACAGAAUAGGAUUAACCGAAAUCAGUAACAUGCUACACUACUCUAAUGCAAGCGGUAUAGAGAAGAAUAGGCGAUAUCUGGUGAUCAAGGGGGGGGGGCUUGCCUGGUUGCUCUGGCAAGAAGGAGGGGUCGUCAACUCCGUAGUCGAACUGGGGGUCGCCGGCAGUCUCGGGGUCUACCGGAAAGAAGUAACGGAGGGGGAACACAAUAAAUAACAAAGCAAUCAAAGCAUCACAAAGCGUAACAUGGCAAUACGCGGUGCUAGGUGCGCCCUAACGCGGUAGUAGGUGAUACCAACGAAGGGGGGAAACAUCCGGGAAAGUAUCCCCGGCAUUUCGCGUUUUCGGAUAGAUGAACCGGAGGUGAAAUGUUGCACGUUUGCUAUGCUAGGGACAUGUGGCUGACGAACGGGCUGCGUAUUCGGAUUUGUCUCGUCGUUCAGAGCAACUUUCAUGUACAAAGUAUUUUCAUCCGAGUUACAGAUUCUUUUAUAUUAAUUUCUAAAGUUUUAAAUCAUUUUCUAGAAUUAGCAGAUUAUUUUAAUUCGAAAUUGCAUUUAUGAUGUCACCAUGAUGUCAUGCUGACGUCAGCAGUCAACAGGGGUUGACUGGUCAACCUGACAUGUGGGUCCCGUACGUCAUUGACUAUACUAACUAAUCAUGAUUAAUUAGCUUAAUUAGUAGUUUAGUUUAAUUAAUAAAAAUUAAUGAAGUUAAUUAAUUCCUUAAUUAAUCAAUUAAUUAAUUAUUUUCAUUAUUAUAUUUUUUUUAAUUCUUCAUUUUUUUUAUAAAAACGUUCUAGGGCUGGUGGGCCCCAUUCGUCAGCGACCCGGGGGCUUAACGGGCACAGGGUGCGGGUGUAAAGGGUGCCGGGUGCCCAGCCCAUUUGGGGUCUGCCCAGGCCACCAGGGGGGCGCCGGCGACAGCAGGGCACGGCGAGGCCGGCCGCCGGAUGCGGCAGUGGCGAGGCCACGGCGGGGCGGCGCCGGGGCGCGGCAGCAGCGGUGGAGGGCGGCAAAGGGGCGCAGCGGCACGGCCUCAACUGGGUGAGCGCGUGCGGGCGCGAGGGGCAGGGCCGUCGCAGGUGCGACGAGCUACCGCAUGGACCGAGUGCGACCACGGCGGUGUAGUGGACGCAGCCGGUGGGGCGCGAGCACGGGGCGGCCUGAGCGCGGGCUAGAGGGGCGCGGUCAUCGCCGGCGAGGACGCCACGGGCGCUGGGUCAGAGAGGGGAGAGAGAGACGAGGAUGGGGUUUCCUCACCCCACGUUGCAGGGGAACAAGCGGCGAGGCUCGAGGUGGCUGCUCGGGGGGGAGACGAGGGUGCGUUCUGGCGACGUGGCUCCUGCGGCAGGGUCCCGGGCAGCGUCGGCGUCGCGGCGAGGAGGAGGCCAUCGGGGAGGAGAUGAGGAGGCGUCCGGCGAGGUGACGACGGAGACGGUGAAUGGUGGCGUUGGGGGAGUGGGGCGACGGAGAGGGCGUGCGUCNNNNNNNNNNNNNNNNNNNNNNNNNNNNNNNNNNNNNNNNNNNNNNNNNNNNNNNNNNNNNNNNNNNNNNNNNNNNNNNNNNNNNNNNNNNNNNNNNNNNNNNNNNNNNNNNNNNNNNNNNNNNNNNNNNNCUGAUCCAGAUGAUGGGGAAGGAGAAGGGGAUCGUGGGGGAGUGGGGCGUCGGUGGGGGGUUAGGGUUUCACCGGGUGGUUGGAUAAGGGAAGAGGGGGUGGCCGGUUGGGCCAGUUGGGCCGGCCAUGGUGGCCUGCUGGGUCGGCUGGUCCAGUUGGGCCAGGGGGUGGGGGUUUAUCCUUUUGGUUUUUUUUGUUUUCCUUUUAUCCUUCAAUUUCUUUUCUGUUUAUUUCAUCUUUCAAAUUGUUUUAGUUUUGUAAAACAUAUAGCUAGCUCCUAAAUUAGUAAUAAUAAUUAUACCACUGCCACAAUUAACUUGGCACCUGAAUAUAACAGUUUGUAAUUGUUUAUCAUUUUAAAAGCAUUUAAAUAAUUGUUUUUGCUACUGUUUUACUCAUUUUAGAGUAUUUAGACAUUUUACAAAAGUGUGGUUUCUCUGCCAUAAUUACCUAUGCAUUAUUUGGCAAAACACGAACAAUUUAGUUUUAAUAUUUGAAAAGCUUUACCGUUUGACUUGAUUUUGAAUUUAAAUUUGAACCGGUUUCGAAUCAACGCGAGUUUAUCAAUAGUAACCGAGGUGACGUGGCAUCAUUAGCAGAGGUUCACUGUAGCUUAAUUAUCCGGGCG
rnacentral:lncRNA from 1 species